CGGCGGACGGGUGAGUAACGCGUGGGUAACCUGCCUCGUACAGGGGGAUAACAGUUGGAAACGGCUGCUAAUACCGCAUAAGCGCACAGUACCGCAUGGUACCGUGUGAAAAACUCCGGUGGUAUGAGAUGGACCCGCGUCUGAUUAGCUAGUUGGUGGGGUAACGGCCUACCAAGGCGACGAUCAGUAGCCGACCUGAGAGGGUGACCGGCCACAUUGGGACUGAGACACGGCCCAA
rnacentral:rRNA from 1 species